GCUGGGUCCGGCGGCGCGCGCGCUGCGAGGUGACCGAGGAGCCGGGCCGGCCGCUCCGGACGAGCCGGGCUGGGGGACCGGAGCCCGGGGUCCCCGCCGCGCCGCCCCGAAGCCGCCCUCGGGAGAAAGACCCGCAUAUCCGAAUAGGUAACCCGGCCGCGCGUCGCCCGGUUUUCACCCCUGAACGGCCUCCUCGCUUCCAGGGUCACGUCUCCAGAUAUACCGAAAAUUCAGAUCUAACGGCAUGGCUGUAUACUGAGUUUGUUUUGUGCUUUUUCCCCCGGAUAUGUUUCUCUCCUGCCUUUGGCGUCUGUUCUCCCCGCAUCAGCAGCGCUCACAGUUCCGCUGCGCAGACACACCGAGCGAGAAGCCCCCAGGAGCAAAGUCUAAGCAUAACCGCAUUAGGCGACCGUACGCGCAUCCACGACACUAUACGGAGCAUACCGAAGCGGCCGUGGCGGGCCAAACGUUUUGGUCCCAUCUGCAGCUACCUCUGGGAAUGCGUAAUUGCAGGUGUGCACCAAAACCUCUUCCCGUGGGUGGCACAGUUUUUCCAUUUUCUUGAAAAGCAGAUGCACGCAAAUGCCCAGAGACAAGAGCAGAUGACAGGGACCCGGCGUGUGGGCGCAGCUUACCUCCGGCGUGGGCCGAGCCGCUCGCAGCGCGGGGGUCCCGGCAGGGCUGCGGCGCCGCCGACGAGUGGCCCGCGAGCGCCCGGCGAGUGGGAAGGGGACGCAUCUCUGCCCUUAUUAGUCUCUCCCGGUGUGACCCUCCCACUCCGCAGGACAGGACUCGGCCAACUCGCGCACAGGUUUUCCUUAAUUACCACAGUGUCGCCUCGGAGCUGGGAGGAUGCCUCUCGGGUUUGCGUUGUUAACAGCUUCGCGGACGGAACGCAGGCGAGAUGCGGGUGCCUGCAGCUUCUCACUUCUGGUUAUGAAGACGUGUCUUCAAAGUGUUGUGCCUGGCAUUCAUUCACAGGGAGAUAAUCGGCUUUUUAACACGCGCUAAAAAAAGGAGUCUUUCAUCUAUAGUGAUGCAAACCAUGUUUAUAUGUCGGGGUUUGAAACUCCUGACGUGUUUCCGCCUUGCGUGACUUUCAUCAGGACCUCUGGGCUGACUGUGGGAAGGCCAGGAGGGAGCUGGAGAGGAGACAGGAUGCUCGGUGCCUGUUUGAACAACAGGACUCCCAAACCUUCACCAGACUUCCAUGGUCAUUCUCUAAUUUUUUUACAAUAUUACCCCAUUUGAAUCUUUUUUCUAAGUAAUAAUACUUUACCUUUUAAUUGCUAGUGAGUUGAAAUGAAAGCGUCCAGGCUUUAUUUCUCCAAUAGACUGUUAAAUUCACCUUAUUUACAUUUAAUUGGUACUAUUUAAGGCUCUUGAGCUACCUAACAGGAAGCCCGAAAUUUUUGCCUCCAAUCUGUGUUUUAAUACGAGUAAUUCAACUUCAUUUUAGCCUUAUUUUUGUAGACAUUUUAAUAAUUUCAUAAUCUUUAAGAUGUUUUUGAAAGUACCAAACACUGG
rnacentral:lncRNA from 1 species